GGGCUAUUAGCUCAGUUGGUUAGAGCGCACCCCUGAUAAGGGUGAGGCCCUUGGUUCAAAUCCAAGAUAGCCCA
rnacentral:tRNA from 1 species